rnacentral:rRNA from 1 species
GUUUAUGGCCAUGCUACUCUGAAUGUGCCCUAUUUUGUUUGAUUUCAGAAGAUAAGCAGGGUCAGACCUGGUCAGUACUUGAAUGGGAGACCCCCUAGGAGUAGCAGGUGCUGUAGGCG